rnacentral:lncRNA from 1 species
CUCUCGGAUGCAGAAUGGCAGUGGCCCAGGCCAUCGGGCUGAGAGCCACUGGGUGUUCAGAAGGACUGUGGCCACAGAGAUGGAUGGGAUCAGCAACCGGGGAGGAUCUUGUCAGGACACCAGAGGAGACAGCUCUGCUGGUUGCUGAUCUUCCCCGUAAUUCUAAAAGUACCAAGGAUGGAACUCAUGGCAUCACACAUCUAGGCAAGAGCUCACUGCUGAGCUACACUUCUAGUCCUGAUCUUUUUCAUACAAAUGAACUGGAUUUUAGACAACUUGGUCUCAGAGAAGAUCCUGUUUCAUUCUUGGGAAAUCUGCAGUUUUUUGCAUUCAUCAGGUGACUUUGAAAUUUGCCAAAUCUGAGACAUAGCUGAGAGGGAGUAAGCGCUGUUUCCUGAAGGAGGAAUAAUUCUUAAGAAGAAAGAAUUCCACAGCUGUUGGGAACCUUGCUGAUUUUUGUAAUUUAUUUCCUUUUUCAUAGUUUCAAAAAGUCUCCCACGAGACAAAGAAGUGCAAGCACUUUCUAAUACUAUAAUUUGCUUUCCAGUGUAUUAAAAUGUUCAUGAAAAAGUCAACAUUUCCCUGGUCUUAGUAUCCAUUAUGCUGCUGAAAUCAUCAGACCAGGUGACACUGAUUUCUUUUAAAAUUAUACAAUGUCACCAGGUGACACUGAUUUCUUGCAAGAGCCUGCCACCUUGUGGUCAUUUGGAAAACCAGACUGGCAACAUUGUGGUGCCGUGUUUCCUUCAAUAAAUAUGUAAGGGGCACCUAAUGCAGUGGCGGGGAAUAUUUUAGAGCCUUCAGUGAUAACAAGCAGCCAGCUGUGCUACGCGUGCCAUAGGUCCACCGCCGCUGACCUCAGAGUAGUGAGUGAAACGGACAAACUUAUUUACAUCACUUCACAUGUGGGGAUACAGUCCACUCUCAUCAGCUGUUAGGUUUUGAUUUUACUGUCAUGUGCCUGUCUUCUCCCCAGUUCUUCCUGCUGCAGGGAGGUGACACGUCUCUGCUCCUUUGAAGGCCAGUCUUUCUCUUUUUGUAGCCCCGUCUUCUCAAAGACUCUGCACUUGUAAUUCUUCCUUCCUUGGCCACCAUCGCCAGCUCCCUCCCCUUUACAGGUCUCCAUCCACACACACACACACACACACACACACCCCUGCCCAGGGGCCUUCACAGAAACAGUUUCCUUCCCUAAUCCCAAUUCUUUGUAGCUAAGGCUGCAUAUUGCUGCUUCCUGUCACCGUGAAACGUCUCAAAGAUUUUGUCUGUAGUCUCCGUCUCCAUUUCUACGCGAUUCCCCUUAGUCCAUGGCCUCUGCAGAGCCUGUCCUGCCCGGGCCACUGGCCACCUGCAUGUGCCAGGGGCCACCUGUCCUCACCCCACUCUGCCUCUCAGCCCUGAACACGGGCCAGCACUGCUUCUGCCUCCUCCCAGCGAGCUCCCAGGGGAUCCAACUGCUGUCCUCGCGUCUGCCCCGGCAGUGCUGUCCCCACCUGUACAGGACUGGCUCUUGGCCUUGGUCUUUGCUCUGAACCACGCAGAGGGCUUCCCUGACCAUUUGGCAUGACUGGCUCCUCGUUCCUGCCUCUCCCUCCUUGGGGAGGAAGUCCUCUCUGGAAGUGACCUCACUACCCACAAGAGCCUCAUCUGCCUUGGUGAUUGUGGGAUUCUCACCUCUCAGCAGUAGUUCCUGCCAUUCAGUAGUGGCUUCACAAGUAGCUUAAGUGGCAGGAGUUUAGAAUUCACCUGGCAAAAAUGGCCACUCCUCCCCAGCCCUGGUCCGUGAGUUAUCUGAUGCUGGGAUCACAGAGGUAAAAAGGGCACUGAGGGCCGGGGAUUUAGCUCAGUGGUUCCAGCACCUGCCUGGAAAGCACAAGGCCCCGAGUUCAAUCCCUGGUACCAAAAAAAGAGAGCACUGAACAGAUAGGAGAAUUGUGUUCAGCCCUUGGGAAGAUUCUGGAAACUUAAUGUGACUGAGAGCCCUAAUUUGUAAACUGAGAGAACUGGGACAAAAUGGAGAUGACAACUACAUAUCAGCUUUGGCCACAGAAAGAAUAAUGUGAUUCACUGACUGACUGAUGGAUACUAAGUCAUUAUCAGUGGCCAUCUUGAAUGUAUGACUCUAUCUUCCUGGAUAACAUGAUUCCUUCUAGGUCCUUAAAAUAUUGCUGUUUUAAUUGAGUUUCAGAUUUGAAAUGCGACUUAAAGCUGUGAAGCAUUCUUAGCAUUUAAUGAUAGAAAAAGAACUAAACUCAGACUCAAAAUUAUAAAUUACCACUUCCGGGAAUUAAUCCAAGGUAAAAGAAAACAGAACUACAUCUACUUAUUUAACUAGGAUUCACCCUAUAACAUGAGAAAAUUAUUCUGUUGUGUAAUAUUUAAGUGCCCCUUUAGAAACGUUCCCUGCAGUAAGUCAGGUAUUUAUUAUGCUUCAUAUUUUAUUUCCCUAAAGAUGUGCUAGCUCUCUGUCUCUUCUAAUUGGAGGACUUGACUUGCUUUCUUUCUCUCCAUUCUGCUGCUCCACAAGGAAAUAAUUCCAGACUAGAGUGGCAGAUAUAUCCAGCUCUAUUUCAAUUCCUGGGAUAAUGUGAAUUCACUGAAUUAAAAGAAAAUAAACCUCAGAGGGGAGUGCAAGCCCAAUUUUAAUGGAAAUUGGGAUUAAGU